UACGAAGGGGGCUAGCGUUGCUCGGAAUCACUGGGCGUAAAGCGCACGUAGGCGGAUUGUUAAGUCAGGGGUGAAAUCCUGGAGCUCAACUCCAGAACUGCCUUUGAUACUGGCGAUCUUGCGUCCGGGAGAGGUGAGUGAAACUGCGAGUGUAGAGGUGAAAUUCGUAGAUAUUCGCAAGAACACCAGUGGCGAAGGCGGCUCACUGGCCCGAUACUGACGCUGAGGCACGAAAGCGUGGGGAGCAAACAGG
rnacentral:rRNA from 1 species